ACCAGACAAUGCAGCUCUCUCCAGGAAGCAGAACCUUAAAACCUGGGAACAUGCCACACAGCGGCAGGUUUUGAGCACAUAAGAUUGCAAGUGACUGUGCUGUGGACCUCUUCGGAGCAGGGACCUGCCCUCUCAUCUGUUGCAACGCACCAUGCCAUGGAUGGAUCGAUAGAAUAAUAACACUCCGUACAAUACCUACGCCUGUUUCCCUGAUCCUCCCUUUCAUCCUCAGUGGCUAACUCUGACUGACCCCCAAGAACAACUCAUCAGAGUCCCCUGCUUUGUUUAGCUGUUGGCAGUAAACCAGCUAUCAACUUCCAUUGCCAUGGCAACUAGUGCUUUGUCAUCUUUUCCUCAAAGCUUCCUAAUUAGACAUCCUGCAAUUUGCAAUUUUCCCCCUAUAAAAUAUGAGGGUUGAAAAAAUGAAGAACAACAUUUCUUAAGAGCGCUAGUGAAUCAGCAGUCUUUAAAUAUCAUUGCUUUCCCAAAUAAGAAUGUAUAUAAGAACUACAAAACAAAAA